GAUGAACGCUGGCGGCGUGCCUAAUACAUGCAAGUCGAGCGAAUGGAUUAAGAGCUUGCUCUUAUGAAGUUAGCGGCGGACGGGUGAGUAACACGUGGGUAACCUGCCCAUAAGACUGGGAUAACUCCGGGAAACCGGGGCUAAUACCGGAUAACAUUUUGAACCGCAUGGUUCGAAAUUGAAAGGCGGCUUCGGCUGUCACUUAUGGAUGGACCCGCGUCGCAUUAGCUAGUUGGUGUGGUAACGACUCACCAAGGCAACGAUGCGUAGCCGACCUGAGAGGGUGAUCGGCCACACUGGGACUGAGACACGGCCCAGACUCCUACGGGAGGCAGCAGUAGGGAAUCUUCCGCAUUGGAAGAAAGUCUGACGGAGCAACGCCGCGUGAGUGAUGAAGGCUUUCGGGUCGUAAAACUCUGUUGUUAGGGAAGAACAGGUGCUAGUUGAAUAAGCUGGCACCUUGACGGUACCUAACCAGAAAGCCACGGCUAACUACGUGCCAGCCGCCGCUGUAA
rnacentral:rRNA from 1 species